GGGGCUGUAGUGUAGCCUGGAGAAGAGGAAUCACGUAAAUUCCCCCUUUCGAGCAAUUAUCACUAAUGGUUUGGGACCAUUGAACCCCGGUUCAAAUCCGGGCAGCCCCA
rnacentral:tRNA from 1 species